GACGAACGCUGGCGGCGUGCCUAAUACAUGCAAGUCGAACGCACGAAGUUGGAAAGCUUGCUUUCUAACCGAGUGAGUGGCGGACGGGUGAGUAACACGUGGGUAACCUGCCCAUUAGAGGGGGAUAACACUUGGAAACAGGUGCUAAUACCGCAUAAUUCUUUUGACCGCAUGGUCGGAAGAUGAAAGACGCUUUCGGGUGUCACUAAUGGAUGGACCCGCGCAGCAUUAGUUAGUUGGUGAGGUAAUGGCUCACCAAGACCGUGAUGCUUAGCCGACCUGAGAGGGUGAUCGGCCACACUGGGACUGAGACACGGCCCAGACUCCUACGGGAGGCAGCAGUAGGGAAUCUUCGGCAAUGGACGAAAGUCUGACCGAGCAACGCCGCGUGAGUGAAGAAGGUUUUCGGAUCGUAAAACUCUGUUGUUAGAGAAGAACAAGUGGGAGAGUAACUGCUCCCGCCUUGA
rnacentral:rRNA from 1 species